AGAGAGAGAGAGAUUGUUUUAGGUGAAAGUCCGCACAGAUUAACCACUAAUUAUUAACACACACACGCGCACGCGCGCGCACACACGUGACAGGAACUUCUCACCUGUUUAGGUGACUGAGUGAAACAGCAGUUUGGGGUCAAGCUGCCCUCUGGUUAUUGAUUAUUGAUCAUCACUGAGGACAGACUGUCUUUGGACAGGAAGCAGUACAGGUGUGUACAGGUGUGUGUCAGGUGUGUGUCAGGUGUGUGUUAGGUGUGUGUCAGGUGUGUGUCAGGUGUGUGUCCCACAGCAGCAGGAAAUGAACACACUCCCUCUCGAUCUGAUGAAAGGACUGAGCAGCUGCUGUGACGUAAAAACGCGCUAAAACCGUCACUGUGCGUCAGAACUGUGGACUUCAAUGAUCCAGAGCAGUAGAUUAAAACAGAGUGGCAACACUCCCAUAGGCAUACGCUGUACAGCCCGGCGGACCCCACUUCCGGGUUAUGGAGCUCGUUAUAGUUCCAACAUGACCGCCUGUCACGUCGGACGCCGUUCGCUUCUAUGGCCACAAGGCAAGCACUCACCGAGGUUAAAUGAUAAAAUAUCAACAAGUUUAAUGCCAAUACAUGUGUUAUUGAUAUCGAGGGGACCCCUUUAUAUGUAAAAAUGUAUAUCCCAAAUGUAAUUACGUUUUUUUAGUUAGGAAUUGGGAUCGAUUUUUUAGCCACGGCCUGCUAGUUGGACGUCGUCAGCUGUAGAGACCUGCCAAAAUGUAUUGUGUGACUGAGUUAUGAAUCACAGAUGAAUCAUCAUCAUCAAUCAUAUGAUGAGAUGGUUACUUAUGGGCUUUAUUUUAGAUUUCAGCCUUUAUCAGUUCCCGAUGUUAUAUGCAGUUUAUUAUUUUUAGACUAACAUAAGUGCUAUGUAAUUUGAUUUCUGCUUAUGGGAUGAUAGAGUUAAGGGACCGCUACUUUUUAAAUCCUGUCAGCAUUUAAGGCGUAUGUU